UAACGAAUCUUCCGCAAUGCACGAAAGUGUGACGGAGCGACGCCGCGUGUGGGACGAAGCCCUUCGGGGUGUAAACCACUGUCAGGGGAUAGAAAGUUCUGAUCAUCCCCAGAGGAAGGCACGGCUAACUCUGUGCCAGCAGCCGCGGUAAGACAGAGGUGCCAAGCGUUAGGCGGAAUCACUGGGCUUAAAGCGUGUGUAGGCGGAUCGUUAAGUACCUUGUGAAAUCCCACGGCUUAACCGUGGAACUGCUUGGUAUACUGGCGGUCUUGAGCCAACUAGGGGCUAUCGGAACAAGUGGUGGAGCGGUGAAAUGCGUAGAUAUCACUUGGAACGCCAAUGGUGAAAACAGAUAGCUGGGGUUGUGCUGACGCUGAGACACGAAAGCCAGGGGAGCAAACGGGAUUAGAUACCCCCGUAGUCC
rnacentral:rRNA from 1 species